UGCCCCAUGGCUGAGUUGGUUACAGCGUCCGACUGUUAAUUCCAAGAUUCACAUCUAGUGUUUAGAGGUUUAGCGGUAUCGGAAGGUCGUGAGUUCGAGCCUCACUGGGGCAG